CUCCCUUCGUACCGCUGUAGUGAUUGCGUGUGAGCACACCUGUGUGCACUUGUUCAUCAGGGCCUGGAGGAUAAAGAACAGGAGGAACAGACAGACGGUGCCAGUGGGCCAGUUGGCAGCUUUCAGGCUGUGUGUUGGUUCUCAGCUAAACUCUGGGGUUGUUGGCCCGACAGCGUCUGGCUGGAUGCACUCCGCUGCUCAUGACUGCUUUUGACACGCUGCCUGAGCCAUGAUCCAACACCGCUGCCCUCCAACUUCUGUCAUGUAGAUAGCGGGUUAAAAUGUCAUACAGAGAGAGCAAGAUGGAGGAGAAAAAGAGAGGUGAGGAAAAGUGAGAAAUAGGGUGAGAGACUUAAUCACGCAUUUGCAAAAUAUGUCAACUCAUUGGCUAAUACACAUUGUUUUAGUGCCAUGUAUGAUGUUGUGUGGUGGAAAUAUGUGGAUUUAUAGCUGUUUGUCACGAUACUGCGCCUGUUUCCAUCCGUCUAUCCCUCCUGCUGACUCCAGAGGAAGUGAUGAUGAAUGAGGAUAGACAGAUCUUUCUCCACCUCCAUCACCACCUCCCACAACAACAGCCUCUGAUCGAUCAUUCCCAGAGUCACCGCGGGCAUUCAGAUAAACAUUUGGGAGAAAAAAAAAGGGUGCUAAAGAUCAACUUACGGGAUCAGGGAAGUCAGGAACAACCAUGAUAUUGUAAGUAUGACAGUACACAUUGUAGAUGUUGUCAAACUAGGCAAAAGAAGGGAAAAAAAUAUACAUGCUAGUCUUGAAAUCGUGGCCUUGUGAAGCAGAAUCAGCUGCCUUCUACUAUGACAUACUGUACGGGAUUUAAAAACAACAAACGGCCGUGCCCGAUGCUCAUUUUCCUUCCUGACACCACUUGUAUGUCGGAUCAACCUAAUAUUGUUUUAAUUUGAUCCUUGCAUAAAGAAGUUGCUUGUAAUGGAAAGAAGUGAUGAUGAUGAUGCCUUUUUUGCAUAUCACCAUUGUCCAAUUAUAACCCUGGUUACA